GUGACCAACUGCGAGUCAAUGGCAACCUUCCUCAAAUAUAACCCUCCACCCUCCGCACUUUGUCGUAAUUCGUAUUGCUUCUCUGUCUACCUUCCCGCCGGUAACUUCAGCUCUAAGGUUUUUUGGGGAGGGGUUUAGUUGGGGUGAGAGAGAGUAAAGUUUGAAUUUUGCAAAAAGAAGAGAGAGAAAAGUUGCUUUUGGCUUUUGGGUUUGAACACGAAGAAGAAGAAGAGAUGGAUGUAACAGAAGUUACAGUGAUACACCACGUGGGGAUUGUGUUAAUGGUGAUCUGGUUUCUCUCUCACUUCAAUUGCUGCCACCCAGUUGCCUACUUCAUCUCUCUCAUUUAUCUCUACCUGGUUCAUGAGCGGUAUGUUAUGAGAUUGCGGAAGAAAUUACAAUUUGAGGAAAGAAAACAGGCUAAUCAGAGAAGGGUACUUUCUGAUUCUGAGACCGUGCGGUGGUUGAACCAUGCAGUUGAAAAGAUAUGGCCUAUAUGUAUGGAACAGAUUGCUUCACAGAAAGUUCUCCUCCCUAUCAUACCUUGGUUUUUGGAGAAGUACAAACCGUGGACUGUUGGUAAAGCUAUAGUACAGCAUCUUUACUUGGGAAGAAACCCACCUAUGUUCACAGAGAUGAGAGUUCUUCGCCAAUCUACUGAUGAUGACCACUUGGUUCUGGAGUUGGGGAUGAAUUUUCUGACAGCUGAUGAUAUGCUUGGAAUUCUAGCUGUGAAACUGAGGAAAAGACUAGGUUUUGGAAUCUGGGCAAAGUUGCAUAUUACAGGCAUGCAUGUUGAAGGGAAGGUCCUGAUUGGGGUGAGGUUCCUUUGCAAGUGGCCUUUCCUAGGCCGUGUGCGGUUAUGCUUCGUUGAGCCUCCAUAUUUUCAAAUGACCGUCAAGCCUAUUUUCACUCAUGGGCUUAACGUUACAGAAGUCCCUGGGAUUGAUGGCUGGCUGGAUAAGCUUCUCUCUGUUGCCUUCGAGCAGACACUUGUUCAGCCUAAUAUGCUGGUCGUUGACAUGGAGAAAUUUACUUCACCGGAACAGGAAAGCUGGUUCUCUGUGGAUGAGAAGGAUCCUGUUGCUUAUGUGAGAGUAGAAGUUAUCAAAGCAUCUGACAUCAAAGCCUCUGAUCUAAAUGGAUUCGCUGACCCUUAUGUGAAGGGUCAUUUGGGUGUUUACCAAUUCAAAACUAAGAUACAAAAGAAAACGCUGACUCCAAAAUGGCACGAGGAAUUUAAGAUCCCCAUAAUCACCUGGGAUUCACCAAAUGUACUAGCUAUUGAAGUUCAUGACAAGGACAUGUUUGUUGAUGAUGCCCUUGGAGAGUGUUCCAUUAACAUCAGCGAUUUUAGGAAUGGCGGGAGGCAUGACAUGUGGUUGCCUCUUCAGAAGGCUGGGAGGCUGCAUCUUGCAGUAACCAUACUUGACGAAAAUGGGAAGGAACAGAAAAAUCUUCAGGGGUUUGACUUGAACCGCUUUCAUACACAGGGAGAUGACUCUCCAGAUGUUCAGGAAAAGCCAGAUGUGAAAGAACGAAGAAAUUCCUUUGCCAGUGACACUGGUAAUAAAGGUUCCUUCUCAUCUAUAUCCUCAGGGAAAUCUGCAAAAGUAGCAGAUCAUUUUGAGCCGAUUGAUAUUGAUGGCCAGAAAGAGACUGGUAUAUGGGUCCAUCACCCAGGAAGUGAAGUUUCACAAACUUGGGAGGCCAGAAAAGGAAAGGGUCGACGACUUAAUACCCAAAAUUCAAGGGGAGCCUAAUGGUAGUGGCAUUGGAUCCCAAGUUAAUGAUACCAGCAGCACUGAUGAAAAUCCUGAAGAUAAACGGCGAAUGGCAUCAGUUCGCAGGGGUCUGCAUAAGAUCGGUUCGGUGUUCCAUAGGAAUUCCAAGGAGGAUAAUUCAUUGCACCUUUAAAGAGCCACUCGAAACCCCACGCGUGAAUCUAAGGGCAGUUAAUGAAAAUAAUAUUGGUGUGAGAUAUGUUGUGGAAGACGGCCUUUGUAGCUCUCCUUCUGGCAAGACAAAUUCAAAAGGAGGGGCUUUAAGUUCUGGAGAGAGUGGUUCGGAUAGCCCAGGAAAGGGCAAUGUUAAAGACAUGGCAAAGAGUCUCUACAAAAGUGCUGAAAGGUCGGUAAAGCAUGCACUUUCACGGAAAGGUUCUAGAAAGUCUCAAGUUGAUCCCCGUGCGGUGAGUGAAAAAGAAAUUUUAGCAGAUUCGACCUCUUCUGAUGACGAUGAUUCUCUUCCGCCCCCAUUUGUUGAAAUGAUACCAGUUCCCUCCAAGGCUAUACCUUGCAGCUCCGAUAUUGAUUCAGGUGUACCAGAGGAGCCCGUGGUUCAGCUGGUAACUAACACCGCAGUGGAUGCUGAAGUCCCAGCGAAGAAGGUUGAACUUGGAGAACUCGAAAAAGUGGAUGAGGAGCUGGACAGCCCUGGAAGAAGUGGCGAUGCAUUGUGCGAGCCGUCAAGAGUUGAAGCUAGCUGAUUCAGAUUUGAAGGUGAAAGCAUGUGAAAUUAGUGCAUGGACUGCUAUAUAAGAGAGCUCAUAUUGUUCCUCUUGUGGCUGGAUUAGCAGAUUUAUUUGAAGGGUCGAGGUCCGGUGUGCAUGUCCAGGCCGCAUAAUUGAUGUUCUUGUGAAACACUCGGCCGAACAAACGCGUUGAUACGCGUUUUCACCUUGAAAAAAAACAGUUCUAUACUGAACUUGAGGAACUCUGAUGCAGCUAUAGGUUUGUCUUAUAUGUUAAAUUUAUGUAGCGCUUUGGAAGGCGAAUGAAGAAUCUGUUUUAAGAUUUCUUCUUUUUGUAGUUAUGUUGCAAAUAUGUGAGUUGUUUGAGAAAAGUUAUGUAAUUUGACCUUUAGUUUAAUGCACAAGCAAAAAAGCCCGUGCGAUGCCGUGGGUUUACAACUCUA